AACGAACGCUGGCGGCGUGCCUAACACAUGCAAGUCGAGCGCGAACGUCCCUUCGGGGAUUAGUAGAGCGGCGCACGGGUGAGUAACACGUGGCUACCUACCUUUCAGUCCGGGAUAACGCGGGGAAACUCGCGCUAAUACUGGAUACGUUCCACGGAGGAAAGCGGGGGACCCUUUCGGGGGCCUCGUGCUGAAAGAUGGGGCCGCGGUCCAUCAGGUUGUUGGUGGGGUAAUGGCCUACCAAGCCUAAGACGGAUAGCUGGUCUGAGAGGAUGAUCAGCCACACUGGAACUGAGACACGGUCCAGACUCCUACGGGAGGCAGCAGUGGGGAAUCUUGCGCAAUGGGCGAAAGCCUGACGCAGCAACGCCGUGUGUGCGAUGAAGGCCCUCGGGUCGUAAAGCACUGUCAGUAGGGAAGAUGGGUUCCUUUAGUAAUAUUGAAGGGGCUUGACGGUACCUACGGAGGAAGCACCGGCUAACUCUG
rnacentral:rRNA from 1 species